GACGAACGCUGGCGGCGUGCCUAAUACAUGCAAGUCGAGCGAACAGAGAAGGAGCUUGCUCCUUCGACGUUAGCGGCGGACGGGUGAGUAACACGUGGGCAACCUACCUUAUAGUUUGGGAUAACUCCGGGAAACCGGGGCUAAUACCGAAUAAUCUGUUUCACCUCAUGGUGAAACACUGAAAGACGGUUUCGGCUGUCGCUAUAGGAUGGGCCCGCGGCGCAUUAGCUAGUUGGUGAGGUAACGGCUCACCAAGGCGACGAUGCGUAGCCGACCUGAGAGGGUGAUCGGCCACACUGGGACUGAGACACGGCCCAGACUCCUACGGGAGGCAGCAGUAGGGAAUCUUCCACAAUGGGCGAAAGCCUGAUGGAGCAACGCCGCGUGAGUGAAGAAGGAUUUCGGUUCGUAAAACUCUGUUGUAAGGGAAGAACAAGUACAGUAGUAACUGGCUGUACCUUGACGGUACCUUAUUAGAAAGCCACGGCUAACUACGUGCCAGCAGCCGCCGUAA
rnacentral:rRNA from 1 species